rnacentral:rRNA from 1 species
UGGGGAAUAUUGCACAAUGGGCGCAAGCCUGAUGCAGCCAUGCCGCGUGUAUGAAGAAGGCCUUCGGGUUGUAAAGUACUUUCAGCGGGGAGGAAGGCGAUAAGGUUAAUAACCUUGUCGAUUGACGUUACCCGCAGAAGAAGCACCGGCUAACUCCGUGCCAGCAGCCGCGGUAAUACGGAGGGUGCAAGCGUUAAUCGGAAUUACUGGGCGUAAAGCGCACGCAGGCGGUCUGUCAAGUCGGAUGUGAAAUCCCCGUGCUAAACCUGGCAACUGCAUUCGAAACUGGCAGGCUAGAGUCUUGUAGAGGGGGGUAGAAUUCCAGGUGUAGCGGUGAAAUGCGUAGAGAUCUGGAGGAAUACCGGUGGCGAAGGCGGCCCCCUGGACAAAGACUGACGCUCAGGUGCGAAAGCGUGGGGAGCAAACA